UAAUAAGUGUUUUAUGGCACUUUUUAAAUCCAUAUCCACCUUGUGUGCAAUGUCAGUCGAUCUUCUUCAUGGAGAUCGACCAAACAUCAACCUUUAUCUUUUGACUCUUUGUCUGAAAAUAUUAUGAAUAAACAAUUCAAAAUA
rnacentral:misc_RNA from 1 species